UACAGAGGGGGCAAGCGUUGUUCGGAAUUACUGGGCGUAAAGGGCGCGUAGGCGGCCUGCUAAGUCGAACGUGAAAUCCCUGGGCUCAACCCAGGAACUGCGUCCGAUACUGGUUGGCUUGAAUUCGGGAGAGGGAUGUGGAAUUCCAGGUGUAGCGGUGAAAUGCGUAGAUAUCUGGAGGAACACCGGUGGCGAAGGCGGCAUCCUGGACCGAGAUUGACGCUGAGGCGCGAAAGCCAGGGGAGCAAACGGG
rnacentral:rRNA from 1 species